GACGAACGCUGGCGGCAGGCCUAACACAUGCAAGUCCAGCGAGAGGCGGACGGGUGAGUAAUGUAUGGGGACUGCCCGAUAGAGGGGGAUAACUACUGGAAACGGUGGCUAAUACCGCAUACUGUCGGAUAACCCAUAUGGGAUUAGCUAGUAGGUAAGGUACUGGCUUACCUAGGCGACGAUCCCUAGCUGGGCUGAGAGGAUGAUCAGCCAACAGGGGACUGUGAGACGGCCCAGACUCCUACGGAGGCAGCAGUGGGGAUUAGUGCACAAUGUGUGCAAGCCUGAUGCAGCCGUGCCGCGUGUAUGAAGAUGGCCCUAGGGUGGUAAAGAACUUUCAGUGGGGAGGCGUUACCGACAGUAGAAGCACCGGCGAACUCCGUGCCAGCCGCCGCGGUAAUAC
rnacentral:rRNA from 1 species